rnacentral:misc_RNA from 1 species
AAAGUCGUAACAAGGUUUCCGUAGGUGAACCUGCGGAAGGAUCAUUACAAAAAAUCCAAUGGCUAGCAUACUCUCAAGCAUGCGAAUCAUCAAACCAUUUCUGCGUACAUCACUUCCGCGUUGCUUUCGCAGGUGGACCGGCGUGACGGCGGACGACUUCUUCGGGAGUCCGCAACGCGUCGUAAUCUGCGAAAGGGUCCGAGUUUUUUUUUUUAAAUUCUUCGUUUAACCGUCGUCCAAUUCUCGUCUGAAACAAACUACAAAACAAAAACAAAACUUUCAACAACGGAUCUCUUGGUUCUC